UACGAAGGGGGCUAGCGUUGUUCGGAAUCACUGGGCGUAAAGGGCGCGUAGGCGGCUUUAUAAGUCGGGGGUGAAAGCCUGUGGCUCAACCACAGAAUUGCCUUCGAUACUGUAGAGCUUGAGACCGGAAGAGGUAAGUGGAACUGCGAGUGUAGAGGUGAAAUUCGUAGAUAUUCGCAAGAACACCAGUGGCUAAGGCGGCUUACUGGUCCGGUUCUGACGCUGAGGCGCGAAAGCGUGGGGAGCAAACAGG
rnacentral:rRNA from 1 species